UACGAAGGGGGCUAGCGUUGUUCGGAAUCACUGGGCGUAAAGCGCACGCAGGCGGACUGAUAAGUCGGGGGUGAAAUCCCGGGGCUCAACCUCGGAAUUGCCUUCGAUACUGUUAGUCUCGAGUCCGGGAGAGGUGAGUGGAAUUCCUAGUGUAGAGGUGAAAUUCGUAGAUAUUAGGAAGAACACCAGUGGCGAAGGCGGCUCACUGGCCCGGUACUGACGCUCAGGUGCGAAAGCGUGGGGAG
rnacentral:rRNA from 1 species